rnacentral:rRNA from 1 species
UACGGAGGGUGCAAGCGUUAUCCGGAUUCACUGGGUUUAAAGGGUGCGUAGGUGGGCAGGUAAGUCAGUGGUGAAAUCUCCGGGCUUAACCCGGAAACUGCCAUUGAUACUAUCUGUCUUAAAUACCGUGGAGGUGAGCGGAAUAUGUCAUGUAGCGGUGAAAUGCUUAGAUAUGACAUAGAACACCAAUUGCGAAGGCAGCUCACUACACGAAUAUUGACACUGAGGCACGAAAGCGUGGGGAUCAAACAGG